AACACUGUUAACCUGCGGUACCUGCGGAAGGAUCAUUAUCGAAAUCUCAAUACAGCCGUUGUAAGGGGAUGUUGCUGGGAGCUUCGGCGCCAAGUGCACUCCCCCCAGGCUACACUUUUAGAUUUUUCACCCCUCUCAUUCGUGCACGUGCUUGUAGGGGACAUUGGGUUCCUCUACGCAUAAAACCGUUUUACAUCCAAAUGUUUUCGGAAAGUUAAUAAGCUAACGCGUAGCGUAUAA
rnacentral:misc_RNA from 1 species